GAUGAACGCUGGCGGCGUGCCUAAUACAUGCAAGUCGAGCGAACAGACGAGGAGCUUGCUCCUCUGACGUUAGCGGCGGACGGGUGAGUAACACGUGGAUAACCUACCUAUAAGACUGGGAUAACUUCGGGAAACCGGAGCUAAUACCGGAUAAUAUAUUGAACCGCAUGGUUCAAUAGUGAAAGACGGUUUUGCUGUCACUUAUAGAUGGAUCCGCGCCGCAUUAGCUAGUUGGUAAGGUAACGGCUUACCAAGGCAACGAUGCGUAGCCGACCUGAGAGGGGGAUCGGCCAAACUGGAACUGAGACACGGUCCAGACUCCUACGGGAGGCAGCAGUAGGGAAUCUGCCGCAAUGGGCGAAAGCCUGACGGAGCAACGCCGCGGGAGUGAUGAAGGUCUUCGGAUCGUAAAACUCUGUUAUUAGGGAAGAACAAAUGUGUAAGUAACUAUGCACGUCUUGACGGUACCUAAUCAGAAAGCCACGGCUAACUACGU
rnacentral:rRNA from 1 species